UACGUAGGGUGCAAGCGUUGUCCGGAAUUAUUGGGCGUAAAGAGCUCGUAGGCGGUCUGUCGCGUCUGGUGUGAAAAUCCAGGGCUUAACCCCGGACCUGCAUCGGGUACGGGCAGACUAGAGUGCGGUAGGGGAGAUCGGAAUUCCUGGUGUAGCGGUGAAAUGCGCAGAUAUCAGGAGGAACACCGGUGGCGAAGGCGGAUCUCUGGGCCGUAACUGACGCUGAGGAGCGAAAGCCAGGGGAGCAAACGGG
rnacentral:rRNA from 1 species